UAGUCUUUGCUCUGUUUUAUUGCCUCUGUUUAUGACUGUAAAUAUAAUGGACACUGAUCAUGUGACACAAUUCAUUAUUUUUAUUUUUUAAACUGCAUUGUUGAUUAAGGGCUUGUAAGCAUUUCACUGUAAGGUCUACUACACCGGUUGUAUUCGGCCCAUGUGACAAAUACAAUUGGAUUUGAUUUCUAUGUGAGACUCAAUAGCAAAUUAAGACAGUUAAGAUGGAGUCUCGUGGACGGCGUUAUCCAGUACUCCUGUUAGGCAGCUAAGCUAGCUACAGUUACCCAUAGCUGGCUAGCUAGUUUUAUAAUUUGAUCCGAAGUUGAUGCUAUUGCUAUGCAACCUCUUGCUAGCUUGUUAUAACAAAUGACUAGCUGUACAUUUCGGCUGUGUUAGUACAUUCAGAGCGAGUUGCCAUAUUGUCUGUUACAAAUUCAGAGCGUUUCCCUUUCGGAGCGCAGCUCUGGUCGAUAACAGCAGUCAAGCUCACAAGCUAGCUUCCAGACACAAAUGAGAGAAGGCCCCCCCCCCUGACCAUUUUACUCGCCCAAGCGGAGCUGGUUGGGCUUUUUUCAUGUUAUCCAGAGCUUUGGUGACAGUCACUGUGCUGCUUGUGUAACAGUUUAACUUUAGUCCAUCCCCUCGCCGGGCUCGAACCAGCUGACACCCACGAAGCAUCGUUUACCCAUCGCGCCACAAAAGCCACGGCAGAGCAAGGGGAACAACUACUUCAGGUCUCAAAGCGAGUGAUGUCACCCGAUUGUGCGCUAAAAGCGUUUCACCACCGCUAGCCAUUUCACAUCGGUUUCACUCACCCCCCUUUUGACCUCCUCCCUUUCCGCAGCAACCAGUGAUCCGGGUCACGGCACUAAUGUAACAGUUAAACUUUAGUCCGUCCCCUCGCCCCUACCCGGGCUCGAACCAGGGACCCUCUGCACACAGACAACUGACACCCACGAAGCAUCGUUACCCAUCGCGCAAUAAAAACCACGGCCCUUGCAGAGCAAGGGGAACACCUACUUCUCAGAGCUAGUGAGUCACCCGAUUGAAACACUAUUAGCGUGCACCACCGCUAACUAGCUAGCAACAAUUGAAUUAUGCUUUUUUUGCCAACACCGGCCAUAUUCAACAGGUGUUGAGCGUGAGAGAUUCCGAUUGGCGCAGUGGUCUAAGGCACUGCAUCUCAGUGAUAGAGACAUCACUACAGACAUCGUGGUUCGAAUCCAGGCUUUAUCACAACCGGCUGUGAUUGGGAGUCCCAUAGGGUGGCGCACAAUUGACCCAGCGUCGUCAGGGUUUGGCCGAUAAAUAAAAAAUGUGUGACUUGCCUAGUUAUAAACAAAAAAUAUAUAUAUAUAUAUUCUGUGCUCUGACAGAUUGGAGUACUCUGAAAUUGGAGUAGAUCAUGAAUGUACUAUUUCGAUGUAUUAGUAGCCAAUUAACGUUAGGUAGCUGUUAUGCUAUGCGGUUUUUAAGGACAGCGUAGCCAACAUAAAAUGUAGCGUAACUUAUUUGCUUAACAUUUGUCAUAAUUAGUUAAAGCAAUGAAAUUGUAGCCGGACUUCGGCUGCAUUUUUACACGACAUUAUUUUCAAAUCUGAAAACGUAGUGAAGCCACGCCCAUUUUAGGAAGAAUUGUAUUUUGGGCCCUAAAAGCACUGAAAUAGGGCCCACUGCUUAUAUACUUUGUAUUUUCGCGAAAGAAGUACGACACCCGAUAACUUUUGGCAUACUAACUAUAUCCUUACUAUAUGCUUAUAUCCAAUAAGCAUACUACAUACUCAAUUUACAUCACAAAAAAAUAGUACUGUUAGUAUUAGUAUUUGAACGCAGCUCUAAACUCUUCUCUUUGUUGUCACGGCCUUGUUUGAGUUUGCAGAGAUCUAUAUUAGUCUCAGCCAUUGGUAUGUAUGGCUAGUUACAGUAACAGUGGGAUAAACUAUAUAAGGUCAGCUGACGCUUAAACCGACUAGCAAAAGCCUAAAACUGACCCAAACCAAAUUGUUUAUACAUUCUGAAGUUAAAUAUCGAUUUGGGUGUCAGACGUGUCAUUAUAGACUCAACCAGCAACAGUGCAGUUGAAGAUGAAGCUGAAGGACAGUUAUGUCACUGUGAUUGUUUGGUAACUCCCCUUGAUGACCACCUGGUGGACAUACUCACGCUGCACUAAGCACAGGAAAGGAAACUUUCAGAGCAAAGUAAAGCUGGGUGCAAGCAUUGUGGUUCAUGGGACAGUUGUGUGCUGUAGCAGCAGAACUCUUCUGAAUAAUCUCGUCAUCACUAAUCUGGUAAUCUGAGGUAUAUUUAAAUUACAGCCUUUCUCUAUUGGGUAAUACUGGAUUUGGCAUUUGUUUCCUGGCUAGCUAGCUAACUAGCUAGGAAGACCUUGAUUUCACCAUUUCCACAGGCACGCAACAUGUCUUUGGCCAUCCAGGGGAAAGAUGGUCCUAUCGUCGUUGGGUGUGUUGACUGCAGGAGGUGCAGUGUUGCUCAGAUGCUUCACCAGACGGUGACCGCAUCAGAUCUGGAGUUUCACCCACCAUUUUACCCAUGGACUCAGUGGCAUGCUGUCAUCUCUUGAUCAUGCCAGUAUCUGACUUGGAUAUCAGGUGUUUUCUGCCUGUCAUAGUAUGGAAUACAUGGCCUUCUGAAACCUUGUAGAAGUCUCGCAGACAUAGGCUGAAGUCAAGGUGCUUGCUGAAAAGUAGAUGGCCCUGACGACUCUGUAGAGAUGUUGACACCUCAAGGGACUACUUCGGACUACUUCCCCCAAGAUACCCCAAACAAAAGGCUGCUCGUGUGUCGAACAAUGGAGCCCUACCCCCUGACCUCAGUCAAUGCCAGACAUGGAGGAGAGAACUACGUGUUCUCCUUACUGACAGGGUACUGUGACCCCCUGCAGGGGUCGAAGUGAGAGUGGACCUCUACUACAAUCGUUAUUUCCCUGGCAAGGCCAUUGGCUUGGCUCCUCCCAUCUACAACAAGGUUCUAGAGUUUGAGGAUGCUACUCAUGGGGUCUGAAAUCUAGGUACCAUUGGUCUAUUACAUGAAGAGACACAGGUGCUCACUUUUUGAAGAGCUGGAAGAUAGAUAGCAUAGAGACCACCAAAAUAAGACAGCUCAACUUCAUGACCCACUGGAAUUGUGAUACAGUGAAUUAUAAGUGAAAUAAUCUGUUGGAAAAAUGACUAGUGUCAUGCACAAAGUACAGUGGGGCACCAAUUGUGCAAGUUCUCCCACUUAAAAAGAUGAGAGAGGUCUGUAAUUUUCAUCAUAGGUACACUUCAACUAUGACAGACAAAAUGAGAGAAUUCCAGAAAAUCACAUUGUAGGAUUUUUAAUGAAUUUAUUUGCAAAUUAUGGUGGAAAAUAAGUAUUUGGUCGAUAACAAAAGUUUAUCUCAAUACUUUGUUAUAUACCCUUUGUUGGCAAUGACAGAGGUCAAACGUUUUCUGUAAGUCUUCACAAGGUUUUCACACACUGUUGCUGGUAUUUUGGCCCAUUCCUCCAUGCAGAUCUCCUCUAGAGCAGUGAUGUUUUGGGGCUGUUGCUGGGCAACACAGACUUUCAACUCCCUCCAAAGAUUUUCUAUGGGGUUGAGAUCUGGAGACUGGCUAGGCCACUCCAGGACCUUGAAAUGCUUCUUACGAAGCCACUCCUUCGUUGCCCGGGCGGUGUGUUUGGGAUCAUUGUCAUGCUGAAAGACCCAGCCAUGUUUCAUCUUCAAUGCCCUUGCUGAUGGAAUGAGGUUUUCAAUCAAAUCUCACGAUACAUGGCCCCAUUCAUUCUUUCCUUUACACAGAGCGGUCAUCCUGGUCCCUUUGCAGAAAAACAGCACCAAAGCAUGAUGUUUCCACCCCCAUGCUUCACAGUAGGUAUGGUGUUCUUUGGAUGCAACUCAGCAUUCUUUGUUCUCCAAACACGACGAGUUGAGUUUUUACGAAAAAGUUAUAUUUUGGGUUCAUCUGACCAUAUGACAAUCUCCCAAUCUUCUGGAUCAUCCAAAUGCUCUCUAGCAAACUUCAGACGGGCCUGGACAUGUACUGGCUUAAGCAAGGGGACACGUCUGGCACUGCAGGAUUUUAGUCCCUGGCGGCGUAGUGUGUUACUGAUGGUAGGCGUUGUUAAUUUGGUCCCAACUCUCUGCAGGUCAUUCACUAGGUCCCCCCGUGUGGUUCUGGGAUUUUUGCUCACCGUUAUUGUGAUCAUUUUGACCCCACGGGGUGAGAUCUUGCGUGGAGCCCCAGAUCGAGGGAGAUGAUCAGUGGUCUUGUAUGUCUUCCAUUUCCUAAUAAUUGCUCCCACAGUUGAUUUAUUCAUACCAAGCUGCUUACCUAUUGCAGAUUCAGUCUUCCCAGCCUGGUGCAGGUCUACAAUUUUGUUUCUGGUGUCCUUGGACAGGUCUUUGGUCUUGGCCAUAGUGGAGUUUGGAUUGUGACUGUUUGAGGUUGUGGACAGGGGUCUUUUAUACUGAUAACAAGUUCAAACAGGUGCCAUUAAUACAGGUAAUGAGUGGAGGACAGAGGAGCCUCUUAAAGAAGAAGUUACAGGUCUGUGAGAGCCAGAAAUCUUGCUUGUUUGUAGGUGACCAAAUACUUAUUUUCCACCAUAAUUUGUAAAUAAAUUCAUUAAAAAUCCUACAAUGUGAUUUUCUGGAUUUUUUUCUCUCAUUUUGUCUGUCAUAGUUGAAGUGUACCUAUGAUGAAAAUGACAGGCCUCUCAUCUUUUUAAGUGGGAGAACUUGCACAAUUGGUGGCUGACUAAAUACUUUUUUGCACCACUGUAGAUGUCCUAACUGACUUGCCAAAACUGUAGUUCGUUAACAAGAAGUUUGUGGAGUGGUUGAUACACUUAGGUUGGCGUCAUUUAAAACUAGUUUAUGUACAUUUCUGAUUUCAACGGUAUAUAUUUUUCUUUUUUACUGGGGUCAACAAUUUCAAGUUUUUUUUUUCAGGUCUUUUGAGGUCAGGUUUCAUGAUUGACAGCACUGAAUCAAAAUAGGACAGGUGUUAGGAAAACUGGCCUAUUAUUGCACAAACAUUCUGUACACAUUUUAUGUGCAAAUACAUAACA